rnacentral:rRNA from 1 species
UACGUAGGGUGCGAGCGUUGUCCGGAAUUAUUGGGCGUAAAGAGCUUGUAGGCGGUCUGUCGCGUCUGCUGUGAAAAUCCGGGGCUCAACCCCGGACUUGCAGUGGGUACGGGCAGACUAGAGUGUGGUAGGGGAGACUGGAAUUCCUGGUGUAGCGGUGAAAUGCGCAGAUAUCAGGAGGAACACCGAUGGCGAAGGCAGGUCUCUGGGCCGAAACUGACGCUGAGGAGCGAAAGCGUGGGGAGCAAACAGG